rnacentral:rRNA from 1 species
GACGAACGCUGGCGGCGUGCUUAACACAUGCAAGUCGAACGGAAAGGCCCUGCUUUUGUGGGGUGCUCGAGUGGCGAACGGGUGAGUAACACGUGAGUAACCUGCCCUUGACUUUGGGAUAACUUCAGGAAACUGGGGCUAAUACCGGAUAGGAGCUCCUGCUGCAUGGUGGGGGUUGGAAAGUUUCGGCGGUUGGGGAUGGACUCGCGGCUUAUCAGCUUGUUGGUGGGGUAGUGGCUUACCAAGGCUUUGACGGGUAGCCGGCCUGAGAGGGUGACCGGCCACAUUGGGACUGAGAUACGGCCCAGACUCCUACGGGAGGCAGCAGUGGGAAAUAUUGCACAAUGGGCGGAAGCCUGAUGCAGCAACGCCGCGUGCGGGAUGACGGCCUUCGGGUUAUAAACCGCUUUCGCCUGUGACGAAGCGUGAGUGACGGUAAUGGGUAAAGAAGCACCGGCUAACUACGUG